rnacentral:rRNA from 1 species
UUGACCUCAAAUCAGGUAGGAAUACCC